GGCAGUAAGAAAUUCUUCUAGUUGGUGUCCAACGAACAGGUCAUAUCAGUGAAGAAAUUUUCUCUCUAAGCAUCAUCAAGGAAAGACAGGUGGAAACAGCUGGUGGUGCAGUGGAUGGAGUGUCAAUUCUGGAUUCAGGAAAAUCUGAGUUCAAAUAUGGCCUCAGAUGAUCACUGGCUGUGUGACUCUGGACAAAUCACUUAGCUCCUGUUUGCCUCAGUUUCCUCAUUUAUAAAAACAUCCGGAGAAGAAAAUAGCAAACCACUGUUAAGAAUAUCCCAAAUGCUUAUACCCCAAAGAGAUACUAAAGAAGGGAAAGGGACCUGUAUGUGCCAAAAUGUUUGUGGCAACCCUGUUUGUAGUGGCUAGAAGCUGGAAAAUGAAUGGAUGCCCAUCAAUUGGAGAAUGGUUGAGUAAACUGUGGUAUAUGAACAUUAUGGAAUAUUAUUGUUCUGUAAGGAAUGACCAACGGGAUGAAUACAGAGAGGACUGGUGAGACUUACAUGAACUGAUGCUAAGUGAAAUGAGCAGAACCAGGAGAUCAUUAUACAUUUCAACAACAAUACUGUAUGAGGAUGUAUUCUGAUGGAAAUGGAUUUCUUCGAUAAAGAGAUCUAACUCAGUUUCAAUUGAUCAAGGAUGGACAGAAGCAGCUAUACCCAAAGAAAGAACACUGGGAAAUGAAUGUAAACUGUUUGCAUUUUUGUUUUUCUUCCCAGGUUAUUUUUUACCUUCUGAAUCCAGGAUUCUAGGUUUCAAAUAAGAGAACUUUGGUUCUGCACACAUAUAUUGUAUCUAGGAUAUACUGUAACCUAUUUAACACGUAUAAGGAUUGCUUGCCAUCUGAGGGAAGGGGUGGAGGGAGGGAGGGAAAAAUGGGAACAGAAGUGAAUGCAAGGGAUAAUGUUGUAAAAAAUUACCCUGUCAUGGGUUCUGUCAAUAAAAAGUUAUUUAAAAAAAGACAUCUUGAGAUCUCAGAUAAAAAAAAAAAAAGAAUAUCCCAAAUGGGGUCAUGAAGAGUUGGAUACAACUAAAAUGACUCAGUUAUAACAAAUCUUUUUUCUUUACUUUCUUAAUAGGAAUUGGGCUAGUGGAGAUCAAAGGUGGUUAUAAGAAGGGAGGUGAGCUUUCAGUUCUUAUACUUAUAUUGAGAGGAGCAGCUAGGUGGCUUAGUGGAUAGGGCACCUGCCCUGAAAUCAGGAAAGGAAGACCUGAGUUCAAAUUUGACCUCAGACACUUAAUACUUCCUGGCUGUGUGACCCUGGGCAAAUCACUUAACCUUCUUUGCCUCAGGGGGGGAAAAAAGGUUUACAUUGAGAGUCCAGUCUUCCUGCUUUUCAGAUGAGAAAGCUGAGGACAAAAUAUAUAAAGUGUCCUACUUGAAGUCACAUAGUUGAAGGGAACUAAGUGGUUUGUGAGGGGUUGCUAACCAAACCAUCAUAGUCCUUCUUUCCCCCAUUACUUUAAACCCUGAUUAGUAAAGCAUGGAAAACAGAGAAAAGGGUUUUUAAAAAUCUCCAUAAUCCCAUUCAGAUCUAAAAUUCUACAUAUAAUUCCAUGUCUAGUGAUUAGUGAUACUAAGCCAUUCAAUAGAAGAUUUCCUUCUGUUACCUGUUGCCAUAGUCAGUCAAUAAGCAAAUGAGAUAUUUGUUAAGUGUUGGACACAUUCAGGUGUUCUUUAGUCCUGUCCAAUUCUUUGUGACCUCAUUUGAUCUUUUCUUGCCAAAGAUACUAGUUUGUCAGUUCUUUUGCAGCUCAUUUUACAGAGUAGGAAACUGAGGCAAACAGAGUUAAGUGAUUUGCCCAGGGUUACAGAAGCAAUAUAUAUGUCUGAGAACAGAUUUGAAUUCAGGAAAAUUGUUCUUGACUCCAGACCCAGCAUUAUCUAUUGUACUACCUAGCUAUCCUGUUGGAUACAUCCUUAGCACUUAAUAAAUGCUUAUUCCUUUUCCCCUCUAUACAUUUAAGAGCCUGCUAUUUGCCAGGCAUUGUGUUAAGUACUGGGGAUACAAAAAUAACAACAUAGGGAAAAGACACUCCCAGCUGCCAAGGAACAGUCCUUUCCUUUCCUCUCCAAGUCUUCAAAAAUCAUCUUUGAUAUUUGUAAAGGGAUGAAACUCUGAGUUGAUGCACUGGAAUCAGACUACUGAGAACUUAAGGCUAAUUAGCAAUUGGACAAUACUCUAUUAGAAUAUGCUUGGAAAAUGCUUUUGACUAUUCUGUGCUGGUUUGAUCUUUUGGUAUGUACAGAAAUUGUGGGAAGGACUAGGGGGUAGAGUAAGACAAACCAGAGUCACUUUGGCAGUAAAGGAGGAGAAAGAACGUCAUGAAGAUCCUGCAUCCAUCCCCUUCACUUCUACCCUUAGAGACCAAGAACAAAGACCAAGGACUUUUGCUUAUCCUGACUCCGGCUGAUUCUAAGGCAUCAGGGUGCUAAUUUGGUCUUCACAGAUAUCUUUAUUCAUCUCACACAUUUCCACUGUUAACUCUGAAUCCUCUUAGAUCUCAUGAAGAUAAUUUGAAUUCCAUUAAUUUGCAUCUUACUAGGGGCUCUUUAAGAAUACUAGGUUGAAGUUGUAAAUGGCAACAAGAAGAUUAUAUGAUGAUCAAUUCUGAUUGCCCUGGCUCUUUCCAACAAUGAAAUGAUUGAGACCAGUUCCAAUAAUCUUAUGAUGAAGAGAGCCAUCUGCACGCAGAGAGAGGACUGUGGGAACUGAGCAUCGAUCACAACAUAGCAUUUUCACUCUUUCUGUUGUUGUUUGUUUGCAUUUUGUUUUCUCUCAGUUUUUUUUUUUCCUUCUCGAUCAGAUUUUUCUUGUGCAGCAAGAUAACUGUAUAAAUAUGUAUACAUAUAUUGGAUUUAACAUAUAUUUUAACAUUUAACAUGUAUUGCAUUACCUGCCAUCUAGGAAAAGGGGUGGAGAGAAGGAGAGUAAAAUUUGAAACAGAAGAUUUUGCAAACAUCAGUGUUGAAAAAUUGCCCAUGCAUAUGUUUUGUAAAUAAAAAACUUUAAUAAAAAAGAACAACAAAAAAAGAAUAUUUGGUUGAAUUCCAAGAGUCUUGUGAUGGAGAGAGCCAUCUGCAUUCAGAAGGAGUACUAUGGGGAUUGAAUGUGGAUCACAACAUAGUAUUUUCAUCUUUUUUUGUUGUUUGCUUGUUUUUUUUGUUUUAUUUCUCAUUUUUUCCCUUUUUGAACUGAUUUUUCUGGUGUAGCAUGAUAAAUGUGGAAAUAUGUAUGUAAGAACUGCACAUGUUUAACUUAUAUUGGAUUAGUUACUGUCUAGGGGAGGAAGAAAAUUUUGGAAUACAAGAUUUUGCGAGAGUGAAUGUUGAAAACUAUUUUUGCAUGUAUUUUGAAAAUAAAAAAGAUAUAAUUAAGAAUACUAAAUUUUUUUAUUGAGCAUGUGAAGCGAGGUGCAAAGGAAAGAAUGAUGGCAUUUUCAGCUUUGGAAUUUGCUAUCAGUCCCUGAACUUUAGUUUUCUUUUCUGUAAAAUGGGGUUAAUAAAAGCUCCCUGGCUUAUUUCA